rnacentral:sRNA from 1 species
GCAAGCUAUCCCUCGCUGCUAAGCUAUCGCUGCCAACCUAUCUAUCGCUGCCAACCUAUCUAUCGCUGCCAAUUUAUCUACCACUGCCAAUCUAUCUAUUGCUGCUAAUCUAUCGCUGCUGCCAAUCUAUCUAUCGCUGCUAAUCUAUCGCCGCUGCCAAUCUAUCCCUCGCUGCUAAGCUAUCCUUCGCUGCUAAGCUAUCCCUCACUACUAAGCUAUCUAUCACUGCUAAUCUAUCGCUGCCAACCUAUCUAUCACUGCCAAUCUAUCUAUCGCUGCUAAUCUAUCGCUGCUAAUCUAUCACUGCUAAUCUAUCGCUGCCAACCUAUCUAUCGCUGCCAAUUUAUCUACCACUGCCAAUCUAUCUAUUGCUGCUAAUCUAUUGCUGCUGCCAAUCUAUCUAUCGCUGCUAAUCUAUUGCUGCUGCUAAUCUAUCUAUCGCUGCUAAUCUAUCGCUGCUAAUCUAUCGCUGCUAAUCUAUCGCUGCUAAUCUAUCGCUGCUAAUCUAUCGCUGCU